rnacentral:rRNA from 1 species
GAUGAACGCUGGCGGCGUGCCUAAUACAUGCAAGUCGAGCGAACAGAUAAGGAGCUUGAUCCUUAGACGUUAGCGGCGGAACGGUGAGUAACACGUGGGUACCCUCCCUAUAAUACUGGGAUAACUUCGUGAAACCGGAGCUAAUACCGGAUAACAUUUGGAACCGCAUGGUUCUAAAGGGAACGAUGGUUUUGCUAUCACUUAUAGAUGGACCCGCGCCGUAUUAGCUCGUUGGUAAGGUAACGGCUUACCAGGGCGACGAUACGUAGCCGACCUGAGAGGGUGAUUGGCCCCCCUGGAUCCGAGAGAGUGGCCAGAGUAUUACGGGAGGCAGCAGAAGGGAAUCUUCCGCAAUAGUCGGAAGCCUGACGCAGCAACCUCGCUUCAGUGAUGAAGGGUUUCGGCCCGGAACACACUGAUACUAGGGAAGAACAACUGUGUAAGUAACUGUGAACGGCUUGACUGUAACUAGUAAGAAAGCCACGGCUAACUCCGUG